GCUGUGAUGAAGAUUGGUGGCUGUGAUCUAUUUGAACUGAUGUCGUCCACAAUCGUCCUCUAAGAAGUUCUGAGCUU
ensembl:snoRNA